AUUAUCAACCACGAUUUAGAUGAAUAGGUUAUGUGAAUUUGUGUGAAUGAUUUUGUCUAAGUGUCUUUGUGUAUUCGUGCACCAAUGUAUGAAUAUAUCUUUGCAUGCUCAUAAUUGUCCCUUUGUUGUGCAUGUCUCCUGAUGAUGAAUGCCGAGGAAAAUUCGUGCAAAAAUCUGCAUCUGAACUUAGCUUGAGAACUCGUCUCCUCUGUGCUACUUGGUCCACCCCCAAAACUUGUAUUGAAGUAUUUUUUUUAAUUGAAAUGUGAGAGAGUGAGAGAGUGAAAGGGGUCCAUUAGCAUAGAGGUCUUCUCAGCAUCCCCACUCCUUCGUGGGAAGGGUUUUAGUGGCACAUAAGCAUGGGUGGCCCUCGGUUCUGGGAAGAGAUCCGAAUGUGUUGCUUCCUCCCUUGGGCGUGAAUGGCUGGCAGAGUGCUCCUCAGUUCUUGAGAGUCUCCUCCUGAUCAUUAAAGUUGUUCCUGCAGUUUGAUGCUUGAAUUUGAAAUCCUUGAUGGGUUCUUUCAAUGCACAACUCAAUUGAUUCCAACAAUAUUGAAAGUUUGUCCUCCAUUGAGAGCUUUUGUGGCACAUUAGGUUGCUCAAAAUUGCUCAAGAUGUUUUUUUCAAACUUGUAGUGUAGAACUCUGAAUAUGGAUUGUUCCAAUGCCUUUUGGAGUCGAUUCUCAUAUUGAUAUGUUUUUGGACAAACU